rnacentral:rRNA from 1 species
UACGAAGGGGGCUAGCGUUGCUCGGAAUCACUGGGCGUAAAGGGUGCGUAGGCGGGUCUUUAAGUCAGGGGCGAAAUCCUGGAGCUCAACUCCAGAACUGCCUUUGAUACUGAAGAUCUUGAGUUCGGGAGAGGUGAGUGGAACUGCGAGUGUAGCGGUGAAAUGCGUAGAUAUCAGGAGGAACACCUGUGGUGUAGACAGCUUACUGGACCACUUCUGACGCUGAGGCACGAAAGCGUGGGGAGCAAACAGG